AUACGGAGGGAGCAAGCGUUGUUCGGAUUUACUGGGCGUAAAGCGUACGUAGGCGGCGCAGCAAGUCGGGAGUGAAAUCCCACGGCUCAACCGUGGAAGUGCUUUCGAAACUGCUGUGCUAGAGGAUGCGAGGGGAAGGCGGAAUUCCAGGUGUAGCGGUGAAAUGCACAGAUAUCUGGAGGAACACCGGUGGCGAAGGCGGCCUUCUGGAUCAUACCUGACACUGAGGUACGAAAGCGUGGGGAGCGAACAGGAUUAGAAACCCUAGUAGUCC
rnacentral:rRNA from 1 species